UUUUCAAAUUCUUUCUUUCAUUUUGACUGCAGAAAAAACCCCACAACACACAAGUUAGCUUUACUUUGAAAGGAUGAUAUUUGUUCCGUGCAACCAUUCAGUCAUACCAAUGUUAUAGAUCGUACUUCAAUUUUCGUAAGCCAAUAUGCUAUGGAUAGCCUUGCUGUGGAUGUUCUGCAUUUGGUUCAAAAGAAAUGUAAAGAAGGCCAAGAAGUUAGGCGAGUAUAACAGCUGGGUUGG